UGGGGAAUAUUCCGCAAUGGACGAAAGUCUGACGGAGCGACGCCGCGUGAUGGAUGAAGUGCCUUGGUACGUAAACAUCUUUUAUCGGGGACGAAGUUUAUUGACGGUACCCGAUGAAUAAGGAGCUCCUAACUCUGUGCCAGCAGGAGCGGUAAUACAGAGGCUCCAAGCAUUACCCGGAAUCACUGGGCGUAAAGGGCGCGUAGGCGGUGUGUCAAGUCAGUUGUGAAAUCUCCGAGCUUAACUCGGAACGGUCAACUGAUACUGUCACACUAGAGUACAGAAGGGGCAAUCGGAAUUCUUGGUGUAGCGGUGAAAUGCGUAGAUAUCAAGAGGAACACCUGAGGUGAAGACGGGUUGCUGGGCUGACACUGACGCUGAGGCGCGAAAGCCAGGGGAGCAAACGGGAUUAGAUACCCACGUAGUCCCUGAGCGGGC
rnacentral:rRNA from 1 species